GGUGACAACUGGUAGCUUAGUGGGUAGAACAUUGGACUUUUAACCCAAAGAACACAAAUUCAAUACCUGCCUAAGCCA